rnacentral:lncRNA from 1 species
UGGAGGAAAUGAUGGAAGGAGAUGGAAUGGAAUUGUUUGAAGAAAGAAUGAUGAGUGGAGAAGUAAUGGAGAUGGAUUAGUAGAUGAUGAAGGAAGAAAACUUCUCAAAAAAUGAAAGAAAGUUUUCUCAGGAAGAAAGGCUCUCUUUGCAUACGAAAGAAGUCUCCCCUUAACCAAAGUAGUGAAGGGUAUUUAUAGUGAAGGUUUAAUGGAAGGGAGA